rnacentral:pre_miRNA from 1 species
AAAAAGGCAAACCCUGAGUUUCCGUGUCCAACUUUGACUGUCCGUCUUAUAUGAAAUUUUUUUAUAAUUCGUAUUUUUAUUGUUGUUAGAUGAUAAAACAUGAUUAAUACUUUGUGCGUGACUUGUCUUUUUAAUUUUUUUUCAUAAUUUUUUCAAAUAAGACGGAUGAUCAAACGUUAGGCACGGAAACUAGGGUUUGUCUUUUU